UACGAAGGGGGCUAGCGUUGUUCGGAAUACUGGGCGUAAAGCGCGCGCAGGCGGUCUUCCAAGUCAGUGGUGAAAGCCCGGAGCUCAACUCCGGAACUGCCAUUGAAACUGUUAGACUUGAGGACGAGAGAGGUGAGUGGAAUUCCCAGUGUAGCGGUGAAAUGCGCAGAUAUCGGGAGGAACACCAAUGGCGAAGGCAGCUCGCUGGGACGUUACUGACGCUGAGACGCGAAAGCGUGGGGAGCAAACAGG
rnacentral:rRNA from 1 species